GCUUCCGUCGUCUAAUGGAUAAGGCUCUGGUUUCCGGAACCAGCGAUCUAGGUUCGAUUCCUAGCGGGAGUACCA
rnacentral:tRNA from 1 species